AUCACACAGAUAUCAUUUUGACGGAAAGUUGAACAUACUUAUCAUAUUAAGUAAUUAAUUAAUUAGUUAAUUGUUCUCCUUAACUACAAUCCACAUCCCUUGUUAAGUAAAACAAAAGGAAGAACAGCCAAAGCCAACAACACUAAAGCACAAAUUAGCGUUUACAGCUUGAAGUGAGGAUCAAUCUCAAUUCUAGCCACACCCUCCUUCGCCUCCUUAGCCACCUCCACCUCGCCAACCACCAACCCACCACCCUCUUCUCCUUUCACAAUCUUCUCUUCCUCCUCCUCAUCUACAUAGUUCGGAUCCUUCUCAUCAAUAGCCGGUGGCGCAGUUUCCAGCUCGUUCUCCACUAUGUCGUCGGGUCCUUCCCACGUGUACUUCCCGCCGUGUCCUGACUUCGGCGGCGGUUUCCCGAUCCCGCCUAACCCAUCAACUGGGUGCCUUUCCAUGCGCUGCACCCCCUUGUCCAUGAGCUUUUUUUCCACGUACUUGAUGGUGUCUAUGUUGUGGGUGUUCAACUCCAUCUUCUCCACUCUCUUCUUCCCUUCCUCAUUGCUAGACACCGCCCUUAUCACUACCUUGUCCUUCUUGUCGUCAAUGGGCUUCAUUUUCUUUCUUCUCUCUCGUUGAUUGAUGCUGCUGGGUGGAUGAGAGUUGAUAGUUGUUAUAUAGCAG
rnacentral:misc_RNA from 1 species